rnacentral:rRNA from 1 species
UACGGGGGGGGCAAGCGUUGUUCGGAAUUACUGGGCGUAAAGGGCUCGUAGGCGGCCAACUAAGGUCAGACGUGAAAUCCCUCGGCUUAACCGGGGAACUGCGUCUGAUACUGGAUGGCUUGAAUUCGGGAGAGGGAUGCGGAAUUCCAGGUGUAGCGGUGAAUGACGUAGAUAUCUGGAGGAACACCGGUGGCGAAGGCGGCAUCCUGGACCGAGAUUGACGCUGAUGCGCGAAGCCAGGGAGCAAACGGG